rnacentral:antisense_RNA from 1 species
CUUCACCGAGCCGAGCAGCAGCGGCUGGUCGCGGCGCUGGCCGUACGCGGCCAGCAGGGCGUCGGCCUC